AUAUUAAAACUAUAUCAACAGUAAUCUUCAGGACGUAUCCAGAAUGUUUAGAGGAAGUACUGUCAUUUUGGUGUGUGUGGCCCUGUUCUUGGUAGCCCCCAGUGAAGGAUAUUAUCCCAACAAUGGUGGAUGUGUUUGUAUUCAAGUAUGGGAUCCUGUGUGUGGUGUAGACGGACAGACGUAUUCCAAUACUGGAUGCCUGGCAUGCGCUGGUGUCCCAUUGGCAUGUAGGGGAGUAUGUCCUUGCUACGGACGCUACUGAACAUGGACAACACUUUGCAGAAAUGUCACACGUGACCUAAAGAUCUAUAGUGUAUAGAUCUGAUAUGUCUGUAAAAAGGAAUUUCCUUGCUUAAUAAAUGGAAAAAUUCUA